GGGAGACAGCCGGAACAGGCUGGGCUCCCAGGCCACUGUGGCACUGCGGGCUGGGGAGACAGCCGGAACAGGCUGGGCUCCCAGGCUACUGUGGCACUGCGGGCUGGGGCUCCUUUGUAACCCAGGCCACCGUGGCACUGCGGGCUGGGGAGACAGCCGGAACAGGCUGGGCUGCAGCUGGUACGUGUCUGUUUGCUGGGUCUGGCUGCUGCAGGCUGGGCUGCUCAGACAAAGGGAUGAAUGGCCUAAGGUACUCUUGGUAGUGGUUGCAGAGGGAAAAGGACAUGGUGGAGCUCCGAGAGCCUCUGCUUGGAAGUGA
ensembl:lncRNA